UCCGGUUUGUCACCGGCAGUCUCGCAUGAGUCCCCAACUUCACUCGCUGGCAACUGGGAGCGGGGGUUGCGCUCGUUGCGGGACUUAACCCAACAUCUCACGACACGAGCUGACGACAGCCAUGCACCACCUGUGAUCCUGCCCACAAGGGGAAACCGUGUUUCCACGGCGGUCAGGAACAUGUCAAACCCAGGUAAGGUUCUUCGCGUUGCGUCGAAUUAAACCACAUGCUCCGCUGCUUGUGCGGGUCCCCGUCAAUUCCUUUGAGUUUUAACCUUGCGGCCGUACUCCCCAGGCGGUCAACUUCACGCGUUAGCUACGGUACCAAGGAAUCGCUUCCCCAACACCCAGUUGACAUCGUUUAGGGCGUGGACUAC
rnacentral:misc_RNA from 1 species